AUUGAACGCUGGCGGCAGGCCUAACACAUGCAAGUCGAACGAGUGGCGGACGGGUGGGUAAUGUCUGGGAAACUGCCUGAUGGAGGGGGAUGACUACUGGAAACGGUAGCUAAUACCGCAUACCAUCGGAUGUGCCCAGAUGGGCUUAGCUGGGAGGUGGGGUAAAGGCUCACCUAGGCGACGAUCCCUAGCUGGUCUGAGAGGCUGACCAGCCACACGGGAACUGAGACACGGUCCAGACUACUACGGGAGGCAGCAGUGGGGAAUAUUGGACAAUGGGGGCAAGCCUGAUGCAGCCAUGCCGCGUGUAUGAAGAAGGCGUUCGGGGUGUAAAGUACUUUCAGCGGGGAGGCGGUACCCGCAGAAGAAGCACCGGCUAACUCCGUGCCAGCAGCCGCGGUAAUUC
rnacentral:rRNA from 1 species